UACAGAGGGGGCAAGCGUUAUUCGGAAUUAUUGGGCGUAAAGGGCGCGUAGGCGGCCUGGCAAGUGGAAGGUGAAAUCCCUCGGCUUAACCGAGGAACUGCCCUCCAAACUGCUUGGCUUGAGUCCGGGAGAGGUGAGUGGAAUUCCCAGUGUAGCGGUGAAAUGCGUAGAUAUUGGGAGGAACACCAGUGGCGAAGGCGGCUCACUGGACCGGAACUGACGCUGAGGCGCGAAAGCAUGGGGAGCAAACAGG
rnacentral:rRNA from 1 species